GUGAGAGUGGAGUAAUUGGUUUAACUCUUUAGGUUCAUAACCUGAAAUUUUGCAAGUUCGAAUCUUGUCUUUCACA
rnacentral:tRNA from 1 species